rnacentral:rRNA from 1 species
GACGAACCGUGCGAACGUUGUUCGGAAUCACUGGGCGUUAAAGGGCGCGUAGGCGGCCGAGCGGGUCGUGGGUGAAAGUCCCCCAGCUUAACUGGGGAAGUGCUUACAAUACCACUGCGGCUGGAGGAAGGAAGGGGCAGCGGGAACUGUCGGUGGAGCGGUGAAAUGCGUUGAUAUCGACAGGAACGCCGAUGGCGAAAGCACGCUGCUGGUCCUUUUCUGACGCUGAGGCGCGAAAGCCAGGGGAGCAAACGGG